GUGAUUCUUCUUUUGUUUUUGUGCUUCUCGAUUUGUUUUUGUGAUUCUUCUUUUGUUUUUGUGCUUCUUAAUUUGUUUUUGUGAUUCUUCUUUUGUUUUUGUGCUUCUUGAUUUGUUUUUGUGAUUCUUCUUUUGUUUUUGUGCUUCUUGAUUUGUUUUUGUGAUUCUCAGUUUUGUUUUUGUGCUUCUCAAUUUUGUUUUUGUGCUUCUCAAUUUUUUUUUUGUGAUUCUCAGUUUUGUUUUUGUGAUUCUCCAUUUGUUUUUUUGUUUCUCGAUUUUGUUGUUGUGUUUAGCAAUUUGUUGGUGUGAUUUGCACUUCAGGGCCUCUCAAUUUUGUUGUUGUGUUUAGCAAUUUGUUGGUGUGAUUUGCACUUCAGGGCCACCGUAGGAAAGAGGUUUAACAUUUGUGAGAGAGCUGUCGUUAGCGGUGAACCACAGACGGGUACCUACCUGAAAGGAGCCGGAGUAUUUCUUUGAACUUUUUGAACUAUUCUGACUGGUUUUUUUUUGAGGUACAGUUCCAUGGGUGCCAAGUGAGGAGCUGGUAUCGUGGGUCUAAGACACUGUUGCUGCUGUGGAGGCCUUCUCUGUGUCAGGACGCCGACACGUUGAUGCCUGCCGUACCAGGAGGGCGGUAGGGAAAAAAACAAAAGGAAGCCCACCUGAGAGAUACCUUAUCAUUUUCUUUUGCUACUUUUUCUCCGCCUGAGAUUCAGGUCGUUUUCAGUUCUUAACCCAGGACAGUGGGUAACUGAAUAAACUGACACCAUAAGGAACUGGACACUCACAUGCUAUUUUCUUUUCUUUUUCCUUUUCUUUGGGGUGUUGAAAUAUUGUGUUUCUUGUCUUACAUCUAUUUUGAUUGUUUCAAUUAUUUUUGUGAUGCAUUUGAGAUGGUUACUGCAUUUGAAGAUAUCCCUACAUUGAGGAUGAGCAAAGGGAACUGAUCCAAAAGGAAAUAUAUAAAGCAAACUUUGUUUCACAAGCCUGUGGUCGUGCGUGUUAUGUGGGUUGGAAGUCUCAUUGCUCUUACAGAGUUGCUACCGCCAAUCUCCUUCCCAAACCUAGAUUCGGAUAUUGUAGACAUUGCACUUGGGCGAGCAGUAUAGAUCAUCUCUUUAUAGAUAGAGGGACACACGUCCAGGUUACA
ensembl:lncRNA